GACGAACGCUGGCGGCGCGCUUAACACAUGCAAGUCGAACGGAAAGGCCUGCUUUCCCUUGUGGAUUGCGGGUACUCGAGUGGCGAACGGGUGAGUAACACGUGAGUGAUCUGCCCCCAACUUGGGUAUAAGCCUGGGAAACUGGGUCUAAUUCCCGAUAGGACUGCAGGGUGGUGCCUGUGGUGGAAAACGAUUUUCUAGUGGUUGGGAUGAGCCCGCGGGCUAUCAGCUUGUUGGUGGGGUAAUGGCCUACCAAGGCGGCGACGGGUAGCCGGCCUGAGAGGGUGGACGGCCACAUUGGGACUGAGAUACGGCCCAGACUCCUACGGGAGGCAGCAGUGGGGAAUAUUGCACAAUGGGCGGAAGCCUAAUGCAGCGACGCCGCGUGGGGGAUGACGGCCUUCGGGUUGUAAACUCCUUUCGACCGCGAGGAAGCCACCUGGUUGGAAGGGUGGUGACGGUAGUGGUAGAAGAAGCACCGGCUAACUACGUG
rnacentral:rRNA from 1 species